CUUAAGGACCUAACCGUGAUUUCAGAAAUAGUUUUAAUUCAAACUUUGGUCCCUGGUUUUGUCUAUAAAUACCACCACGAAGUUCAAGUUCAAACCAACUCAAAUUAGAGCAACCCAAGCCUCCAAAUCCUUGCUAAACCUUCCCCUCAGCCUCCUAAAGCCUUCCCUAACAUCUUCUCCGCCCAAAAACCACCACAAAACACCCAACCGAGCUCAAGAAAUUCCGAAACUUUAAGCUCUCGGUUCUCCCUCAAAUCUCCAUCAAUUUUGUCGAACCAAGAGUCUAUUUUGCUUAUAAUUUCACCAGGAAGCUAUUCGUGCAAGAAUUUUGAAGUUUGGAGGUCUAGAUUUCAUUCUGCCAUUGUUGACCGGAAAAGCUUCACGGUGUUCAUCGUUUUGGCCAAACCAGAGACCUUUUCAGCUACCCACCUAUACCAUUGAGUUCCUGGGAGUGAGAGGAAGCUUUUCCAAUCGGUUUCCACCCUUAACUCCACCCACCCGCCGGAGCUCCGCCGCCAACCACCACCUUCUCCGGCGAGCUCACCGGAAAACUGCUCAGAACUUGGAUUUUCUUGCAUAGUUCAAAUCCUUGUCUUCCAUAGGUUCCAUAUACAUAUUCGGUUCGGAAAAUUAACUUGGUUUGAUAGGGUUUCAAGAGACGAGAAGAUAAUCGAUCGGAGGAUUUUUCGAAGAAAGGUAAGGGGGGGAGAAUGCUCAACUCAUGAGGGAGUAUAGUGUGAAUAAAUAGGUGUUGGACCUCCCUUGGGUCCUAUUUG